UACGUAGGUGCAAGCGUUGUCCGGAAUUAUUGGGCGUAAAGAGCUCGUAGGCGGUUUGUCGCGUCGAAUGUGAAACCCGGGGCUCAACCCCGGGCCUGCAUUCGAUACGGGCAGACUAGAGUUCGGUAGGGGAGUCUGGAAUUCCUGGUGUAGCGGUGAAAUGCGUAGAUAUCUGGAAGGAAUACCGGUGGCGAAGGCGGCAUCCUGGACCGACGAUUGAACGCUGACGGAGCGAAAGCCAGGGAGCAAGCGGG
rnacentral:rRNA from 1 species